UGGGGGAUAUUGCACAAUGGGCGAAAGCCUGAUGCAGCGACGCCGCGUGGGGGAUGAAGGCCUUCGGGUUGUAAACUUCUUUUGCUCUGAACAAGGCAUGCCUUUGGGGUGUGUUGAGUGUAGGGGUUGAUUAGCGCCGGCUAACUACGUGCCAGCAGCCGCGGUAAUACGUAGGGCGCGAGCGUUGUCCGGAAUUAUUGGGCGUAAAGGGCUUGUAGGUGGCUGGUUGCGUCUGUCGUGAAAGCUCAUGGCUUAACUGUGGGUUUGCGGUGGGUACGGGCUGGCUUGAGUGCAGUAGGGGAGGCUGGAAUUCCUGGGGUAGCGGUGGAAUGCGCAGAUAUCAGGAGGAAUACCGGUGGCGAAGGCGGGUCUCUGGGCUGUUACUGACGCUGAGGAGCGAAAGCGUGGGGAGCGAACAGG
rnacentral:rRNA from 1 species